rnacentral:rRNA from 1 species
CCGAGUCUUAAUUGGGCGUUAAGUUGCAGGGUAUAGACCCGAAACCCGGUGAUCUAGCCAUGGGCAGGUUGAAGGUUGGGUAACACUAACUGGAGGACCGAACCGACUAAUGUUGAAAAAUUAGCGGAUGACCUGUGGCUGGGGGUGAAAGGCCAAUCAAACCGGGAGAUAGCUGGUUCUCCCCGAAAGCUAUUUAGGUAGCGCCUCGUGAAUUCAUCUCCGGGGGUAGAGCACUGUUUCGGCUAGGGGGCCAUCCCGGCUUACCAACCCGAUGCAAACUGCGAAUACCGGAGAAUGUUAUCACGGGAGACACACGGCGGGUGCUAACGUCCGUCGUGAAGAGGGAAACAACCCAGACCGCCAGCUAAGGUCCCAAAGUCAUGGUUAAGUGGGAAACGAUGUGGGAAGGCCCAGACAGCCAGGAUGUUGGCUUAGAAGCAGCCAUCAUUUAAAGAAAGCGUAAUAGCUCACUGGUCGAGUCGGCCUGCGCGGAAGAUGUAACGGGGCUAAACCAUGCACCGAAGCUGCGGCAGCGACACUGUG